CAGCCGCCGCGGUAAUACAGAGGAUGCAAGCGUUAUCCGGAAUGAUUGGGCGUAAAGCGUCUGUAGGUGGCUUUUCAAGUCCGCCGUCAAAUCCCAGGGCUCAACCCUGGACAGGCGGUGGAAACUACCAAGCUGGAGUACGGUAGGGGCAGAGGGAAUUUCCGGUGGAGCGGUGAAAUGCGUAGAGAUGUGGAGGAACACCAGUGGCGAAGGCGACUCUCUGGUCUGUAACUGACGCUGAGGAGCGAAAGCGUGGGGAGCGAACAGGAUUAGAUACCCCAGUAGUCCCUGUCUCUUAUAC
rnacentral:rRNA from 1 species